UACGUAGGUGGCAAGCGUUGUCCGGAAUUAUUGGGCGUAAAGCGCGCGCAGGCGGUCCUUUAAGUCUGAUGUGAAAGCCCACGGCUCAACCGUGGAGGGUCAUUGGAAACUGGGGGGACUUGAGUGCAGGAGAGAAGAGUGGAAUUCCACGUGUAGCGGUGAAAUGCGUAGAGAUGUGGAGGAACACCAGUGGCGAAGGCGACUCUUUGGCCUGUAAACUGACGCUGAGGCGCGAAAGCGUUGGGGAGCAAACAGG
rnacentral:rRNA from 1 species